rnacentral:rRNA from 1 species
AUCUGAUCAGCCNUGCCGCGUGCAGGAAGAAUGCCCUAUGGGUAGUAAACUGCUUUUAUACGGGAAGAAAAAGAGCUACGUGUAGCUUACUGACGGUACCGUAAGAAUAAGGACCGGCUAACUCCGUGCCAGCAGCCGCGGUAAUACGGAGGGUCCGAGCGUUAUCCGGAAUUAUUGGGUUUAAAGGGUCCGUAGGCGGGCGAUUAAGUCAGUGGUGAAAGUCUGCAGCUCAACUGUAGAAUUGCCUUUGAUACUGGUCGUCUUGAGUUAUAGUGAAGUUGCCGGAAUAUGUAGUGUAGCGGUGAAAUGCAUAGAUAUUACAUAGAACACCGAUUGCGAAGGCAGGUGACUAACUAUAUACUGACGCUGAUGGACGAAAGCGUGGGGAGCGAACAGGAUUAGAUACCCUGGUAGUCCACGCCGUAAACGAUGGAUACUAGCUGUCCGGGACCUUGAGUCCUGGGCGGCCAAGCGAAAGUGAUAAGUAUCCCACCUGGGGAGUACGUUCGCAAGAAUGAAACUCAAAGGAAUUGACGGGGGCCCGCACAAGCGGUGGAGCAUGUGGUUUAAUUCUUUGA